rnacentral:rRNA from 1 species
CCCACCCUACGGGACGCAGCAGUAGGGAAUCUUCCACAAUGGACGAAAGUCUGAUGGAGCAACGCCGCGUGAGUGAAGAAGGGUUUCGGCUCGUAAAGCUCUGUUGGUAGUGAAGAAAGAUAGAGGUAGUAACUGGCCUUUAUUUUACGGUAAUUACUUAGAAAGUCACGGCUAACUACGUGCCAGCAGCCGCGGUAAUACGUAGGUGGCAAGCGUUUUCCGGAUUUAUUGGG